GGGCGUUUAGCUCAGCGGGAGAGCGCUUCCCUGACACGGAAGAGGUCGCAGGUUCAAUCCCUGCAACGCCCA
rnacentral:tRNA from 1 species